rnacentral:rRNA from 1 species
CCUACGGGAGGCAGCAGUCGAGAAUCAUUCACAAUGGGGGAAACCCUGAUGGGGCGACGCCGCGUGGGGGAAUGAAGGUCUGCGGAUUGUAAACCCCUGUCAUGUGGGAGCAAAUAAAAAAGAUAGUACCACAAGAGGAAGAGACGGCUAACUCGGGGCCAGCAGCCGCGGUAAUACAGAGGACUCAAGCGUUGUUCGGAAUCACGGGGCGUAACGGGUGCGGAGGCUGUUUCGUAAGUCGUGUGUGAAAGGCGCGGGCUCAACCCGCGAACUGCACCUGAUACUGCGAGACUAGAGUAAUGGAGGGGGAACCGGAAUUCUCGGUGUAGCGGUGAAAUGCGUAGAUAUCGGGAGGAACACUCGUGGCGAAGGCGGGUUCCUGGACAUUAACUGACGCUGAGGCACGAAAGCCAGGGGAGCGAAAAGGAUUAGAUACCCGAGUAGUC